GUGCCUGCUUCAGCAGUACAUACACUAAAAUUGAAACAAUACUGAGAUUAGCAUGGCCCCUGUGCAAGGAUGACAGGCAAAUUCAUGAAGUGUCCCAUAUUUCA